rnacentral:rRNA from 1 species
UACGUAGGGUGCAAGCGUUUGUCCGGAAUUAUUGGGCGUAAAGAGCUCGUAGGCGGUUUGUCGCGUCGACUGUGAAAUCCCGCGGCUCAACUGCGGGUCUGCAGUCGAUACGGGCAGGCUAGAGUUCGGUAGGGGAGACUGGAAUUCCUGGUGUAGCGGUGAAAUGCGCAGAUAUCAGGAGGAACACCGAUGGCGAAGGCAGGUCUCUGGGCCGAUACUGACGCUGAGGAGCGAAAGCGUGGGGAGCGAACAGG